GAUGAACGCUGGCGGCGUGCCUAAUACAUGCAAGUCGAGCGAACAGAUAAGGAGCUUGCUCCUUUGACGUUAGCGGCGGGCGGGUGAGUAACACGUGGGUAACCUACCUAUAAGACUGGGAUAACUUCGGGAAACCGGAGCUAAUACCGGAUAACAUUUGGAACCGCAUGGUUCUAAAGUGAAAGAUGGUUUUGCUAUCACUUAUAGAUGGACCCGCGCCGUAUUAGCUAGUUGGUAAGGUAACGGCUUACCAAGGCGACGAUACGUAGCCGACCUGAGAGGGUGAUCGGCCACACUGGAACUGAGACACGGUCCAGACUCCUACGGGAGGCAGCAGUAGGGAAUCUUCCGCAAUGGGCGAAAGCCUGACGGAGCAACGCCGCGUGAGUGAUGAAGGGCUUCGGCUCGUAAAACUCUGUUAUUAGGGAAGAACAAACGUGUAAGUAACUGUGCACGUCUUGACGGUACCUAAUCAGAAAGCCACGGCUAACUACGUG
rnacentral:rRNA from 1 species